UACGUAGGGUGCAAGCGUUAUCCGGAAUUAUUGGGCGUAAAGAGCUCGUAGGCGGUCUGUCGCGUCGGCUGUGAAAACCUGGGGCUCAACCCCAGGCCUGCAGUCGAUACGGGCAGACUAGAGUCCGGCAGGGGAGACUGGAAUUCCUGGUGUAGCGGUGAAAUGCGCAGAUAUCAGGAGGAACACCGGUGGCGAAGGCGGGUCUCUGGGCCGGAACUGACGCUG
rnacentral:rRNA from 1 species